rnacentral:rRNA from 1 species
AACAUUUAGGAAUCUGCCUAGUAGUGGGGGAUAGCUCGGGGAAACUCGAAUUAAUACCGCAUACGACCUACGGGUGAAAGGGGGCGCAAGCUCUUGCUAUUAGAUGAGCCUAAAUCAGAUUAGCUAGUUGGUGGGGUAAAGGCCCACCAAGGCGACGAUCUGUAACUGGUCUGAGAGGAUGAUCAGUCACACCGGAACUGAGACACGGUCCGGACUCCUACGGGAGGCAGCAGUGGGGAAUAUUGGACAAUGGGGGCAACCCUGAUCCAGCCAUGCCGCGUGUGUGAAGAAGGCCUUUUGGUUGUAAAGCACUUUAAGCAGGGAGGAGAGGCUAAUGGUUAAUACCCAUUAGAUUAGACGUUACCUGCAGAAUAAGCACCGGCUAACUCUGUGCCAGCAGCCGCGGUAAUACAGAGGGUGCGAGCGUUAAUCGGAAUUACUGGGCGUAAAGCGAGUGUAGGUGGCUCAUUAAGUCACAUGUGAAAUCCCCGGGCUUAACCUGGGAACUGCAUGUGAUACUGGUGGUGCUAGAAUAUGUGAGAGGGA